CCCAUAACAACCUUAAUGCUUCCAACCG
rnacentral:sRNA from 1 species